GCGAAUUAGUAAUUGUGGGUGUCUGCCUCAUCAACUUUCCAUGAAGUAAAAGCGACACGAUCACAUUCGCGACGGAGGGAGAAGUCCUACGGCAGCAGCGAGAACACCGUGAAGGUGAAAAGAGAUGGCCUCAACUCUCACGUUAUAUGCAUACACAUAACGUGUCACCAGUUGCUAUGAGACACAGCAACACGGGGAAAAGAGAUGAGGAUUUACUCUUCCCCUGCUUUACGGUGGUUCCUCCUUCCAACUCAAGUUAUUAACCAGCCCGAUGCUGAGGAGGGAAACGAAGAGGAAGAGAGACACGUCGCCAGUGCGAUAAGCAAAGGACGGUACCGAAUCCGUUUGACCUUUUCCCUCUGCUUUCACUCUAUAUAAACCACACGUACAGAUCAUCAUCCUCUGUCCUCCCUCUUCUGCUUCUGAUCAUCUCCAUAGCUACAGAGUUGAGUUGUUUGUGAUGGGGAGACAGGCUUGUUGUGACAAAGAAGGUCUCAAGAGGGGUCCAUGGACAACUGAAGAGGACGAAAAGUUAAUCGAUUACAUACAGAAGCACGGGCAAGGAAACUGGAGAACUCUUCCUAAGAAAGCUGAUGGUCGGCGAUCGCUGCCCGUUUACCGGGAAGGACCGACAAUGAGAUCAAGAACUACUGGAACACACACAUUCGGAAGAGACUAUUGAAGAUGGGGAUCGACCCAGUGACUCAUGCACCGCGACUCGAUCUCCUCUUUGCAGCUCCCCCUUUCUGCAAUUCGUUGCAGUCGAACAGCCUGUUAGGCCUCGAACAUGACCUCCUCUUGAUGGCCACCAACCUCCUCUCCUCUCAGUCCCAAAACUCCAACACCGUUGUCCUUGAUCAGACACCACUCCAGGAGCAACAACUCCAGUACCAAUCUCAUGAUCAGCUCCUCGAUGCGGCACAGAUUAUGCAAGCCAAUAUGAGCCAGAAUCCAUGGCAAGAAAUCAUCACGCAGGAUAACUAUUUGCACGAGUGCAGUAACUGGAUGCCUACUGCGGCAAUGGGAGUCAACUAUGAAAGCUUAGGUCCUUCUCCAUGGCCGCAAUUGGGGAACUAAGACUCCUACAGCAGUAUCUGUUCAAGUAUCAAAUCCCUGUUCUCUUGGAUGUAAGCAAUUGCAUGUGAACAAGAACAAGAGAAGCUAAUGGGACGAUUUAGAGAAGCUGUCAGUCAUUUUAUAUUCAUAAAGCACAAGUCUUUGGCCAUCUGUUUUUUCAUUGUUUCCGUGGCCAUCAGUGUACCACCAAAUUCUAAAAUCUCAUUAAAACAUGAACUUACAUUAUCA